UGCCCGGGUUUGUAUAGAGUUUGCUCUCCUAGGUGAAUUGCCUACCACGGCUAACGACCUCCACCUGCCCGGGUUUGUUUAGAGUUUGCUCUCCUAGGUGAAUUGCCUCCCACGGCUGACGAGCUCCACCUGCCCGGGUUUAUUGUUCGGAGUUUGCUCUCCUAGGUGAAUUGCCUACCACGGCUAACGACCUCCACCUGCCCGGGUUUGUUGUUCGGAGUUUGCUCUCCUAGGCAGAUUGCCUACCACGGCUGACGAGCUCCACCUGCCCGGGUUUGUUGUUCGGAGUUUGCUCUCCUAGGCAGAUUGCCUACCACGGCUGACGAGCUCCACCUGCCCGGGUUUGUUGUUCGGAGUUUGCUCUCCUAGGUGAAUUGCCUACCACGGCUAACGACCUCCACCUGCCCGGGUUUGUUUAGAGUUUGCUCUCCUAGGUGAAUUGCCUCCCACGGCUGACGACCUCCACCUGCCCGGGUUUGUAUAGAGUUUGCUCUCCUAGGUGAAUUGCCUACCACGGCUAACGACCUCCACCUGCCCGGGUUUGUAUAGAGUUUGCUCUCCUAGGUGAAUUGCCUACCACGGCUAACGACCUCCACCUGCCCGGGUUUGUUUAGAGUUUGCUCUCCUAGGUGAAUUGCCUCCCACGGCUGACGAGCUCCACCUGCCCGGGUUUAUUGUUCGGAGUUUGCUCUCCUAGGUGAAUUGCCUACCACGGCUAACGACCUCCACCUGCCCGGGUUUGUUUAGAGUUUGCUCUCCUAGGUGAAUUGCCUACCACGGCUAACGACCUCCACCUGCCCGGGUUUGUUUAGAGUUUGCUCUCCUAGGUGAAUUGCCUCCCACGGCUAACGACCUCCACCUGCCCGGGUUUGUUUAGAGUUUGCUCUCCUAGGUGAAUUGCCUACCACGGCUAACGACCUCCACCUGCCCGGGUUUGUUUAGAGUUUGCUCUCCUAGGUGAAUUGCCUACCACGGCUAACGACCUCCACCUGCCCGGGUUUGUUUAGAGUUUGCUCUCCUAGGUGAAUUGCCUACCACGGCUAACGACCUCCACCUGCCCGGGUUUGUA